AUCCCAUGGUGGGGACAAGCCAGGAUGUAUUCCUGAAGCCUUUCCCAUGCCUCAGGAAUAGAUUUCGAUGUUGUCUGCUGAAAGCUUGAAAUUUUUCCACGGAGGGC